UUACGAUACAACUUCGAAAAAUAGGAAAUUCGUAACGAGUGGCGAUAAAUUAAAACACAACCGAAGAGAGUUGUUUUAAAUCCACACGAUUUGCAAAUUACCUAUUCGCACGUGUAUCGUACAACGUUUUACAGUACAUGGCCCUUUAAGCUUUUGACAUACGCACGAAAAGUGCUAUUUUACGCACUAGUGCGGGAAAAUAGGACCAUAAUUAUAUACUUUAAAUGAUAUUUUUAUUAUUAAUUUGUAUAAAUGAAUGUCAUUAGUCAUUGCCUACAUUAAAUGUACUUAAUCUAUGCUUCCAUAAAUAUAUUUACUAUCAUUAUCAAUAUAUUACAAGACGUUGCACAUA